rnacentral:rRNA from 1 species
GAUGAACGCUGGCGGCGUGCCUAACACAUGCAAGUCGAGCGCGUCUGAUUUGAUGCUUGCAUUGAUGAAAGAUGAGCGGCGGACGGGUGAGUAACGCGUGGGUAACCUGCCCUAUACACAUGGAUAACAUACUGAAAAGUUUACUAAUACAUGAUAAUAUAUAUUUACGGCAUCGUAGAUAUAUCAAAGUGUUAGCGGUAUAGGAUGGACCCGCGUCUGAUUAGCUAGUUGGUGAGAUAACUGCCCACCAAGGCGACGAUCAGUAGCCGACCUGAGAGGGUGAUCGGCCACAUUGGAACUGAGACACGGUCCAAACUCCUACGGGAGGCAGCAGUGGGGAAUAUUGCACAAUGGGCGCAAGCCUGAUGCAGCAACGCCGCGUGAACGAUGAAGGUCUUCGGAUCGUAAAGUUCUGUUGCAGGGGAAGAUAAUGACGGUACCCUGUGAGGAAGCCCCGGCUAACUACGUGCCAGCAGCCGCGGCAAUACGUAGGGGGCUAGCGUUAUCCGGAUUUACUGGGCGUAAAGGGUGCGUAGGUGGUCUUUCAAGUCGGUGGUUAAAGGCUACGGCUCAACCGUAGUUAGCCUCCGAAACUGGAAGACUUGAGUGCAGGAGAGGAAAGUGGAAUUCCCAGUGUAGCGGUGAAAUGCGUAGAUAUUGGGAGGAACACCAGUAGCGAAGGCGGCUUUCUGGACUGCAACUGACACUGAGGCACGAAAGCGUGGGUAGCAAACAGG